UGAGUAACCUGCCCUUAACUCUGGGAUAAGCCUGGGAAACUGGGUCUAAUACCGGAUAUGACUCCUCAUCGCAUGGUGGGGGGUGGAAAGCUUUUUGUGGUUUUGGAUGGACUCGCGGCCUAUCAGCUUGUUGGUGAGGUAAUGGCUCACCAAGGCGACGACGGGUAGCCGGCCUGAGAGGGUGACCGGCCACACUGGGACUGAGACACGGCCCAGACUCCGUACGGGAGGCAG
rnacentral:rRNA from 1 species